GACAGAGGUGGCGAGCGUUGCUCGGAUUUACUGGGCUUAAAGGGCGCGUAGGUGGCCUUGUAAGUCAAAGGUGGAAUUCCACAGCUCAACUGUGGAACUGCCUUUGAUACUGCAAGGCUUGAGUCAGGUAGAGGGGGGUGGAAUUCCUGGUGUAGCAGUGAAAUGCGUAGAGAUCAGGAGGAACACCGGUGGCGAAGGCGGCCACCUGGUCAGAAACUGACGCUGAGGUACGAAAGCGUGGGGAGCAAACAGG
rnacentral:rRNA from 1 species